GCACCCUUAGCUCAAUUGGAUAGAGCGUUAGACUACGGAUCUAAAGGCUAGGGGUUCGACUCCCUUAGGGUGCACCA
rnacentral:tRNA from 1 species